CAGUCGCCGCGGGAAUACGAAGGGGGCUAGCGUUGUUCGGAAUUACUGGGCGUAAAGCGCACGUAGGCGGAUAUUUAAGUCAGGGGUGAAAUCCCAGAGCUCAACUCUGGAACUGCCUUUGAUACUGGAAGUCUUGAGUUCGGGAGAGGUGAGUGGAACUGCGAGUGUAGAGGUGAAAUUCGUAGAUAUUCGCAAGAACACCAGUGGCGAAGGCGGCUCACUGGCCCGAUACUGACGCUGAGGUGCGAAAGCGUGGGGAGCAAACAGGAUUAGAUACCCCGGUAGUCCCUGUCUCUUAUAC
rnacentral:rRNA from 1 species